UACAGAGGGUGCAAGCGUUGUUCGGAAUUAUUGGGCGUAAAGCGCGUGUAGGCGGCUUUGCAAGUCGGGUGUGAAAUCCCUCAGCUUAACUGAGGAAGUGCGCCCGAAGCUGCUUUGCUUGAGUGCCGGAGAGGAUGGCGGAAUUCCCCAAGUAGAGGUGAAAUUCGUAGAUAUGGGGAGGAACACCGGUGGCGAAGGCGGCCAUCUGGACGGUAACUGACGCUGAGACGCGAAAGCGUGGGGAGCAAACAGG
rnacentral:rRNA from 1 species